UCGAACGAAGCACAUAGGAACGAAUCUUCGGAUGAAGUCUUAUGUGACUUAGUGGCGGACGGGUGAGUAACGCGUGGGUAACUGACCUCACACAGGGGGAUAACAGUUGGAAACGGCUGCUAAUACCGCAUAACCCGCUAGUACCGCAUGGUACAGACGGAAAAGAUUUAUCGGUGUGAGACAGACCCGCGUCUGAUUAGGCAGUUGGCAGGGUAACGGCCUACCAAACCGACGAUCAGUAGCCGGCCUGAGAGGGUGGACGGCCACAUUGGGACUGAGACACGGCCCAAACUCCUACGGGAGGCAGCAGUGGGGAAUAUUGCACAAUGGGGGAAACCCUGAUGCAGCGACGCCGCGUGAGUGAAGAAGUAUCUCGGUACGUAAAGCUCUAUCAGCAGGGAAGAAAAUGACGGUACCUGACUAAGAAGCCCCGGCUAACUACGUGCCAGCAGCCGCGGUAAUACGUAGGGAGCAAGCGUUAUCCGGAUUUAUUGGGUGUAAAGGGUGCGUAGACGGGUUAACAAGUUAGUUGUGAAAUCCCUCGGCUUAACUGAGGAACUGCAACUAAAACUAUUAAUCUUGAGUGCGGGAGAGGAAAGUGGAAUUCCUAGUGUAGCGGUGAAAUGCGUAGAUAUUAGGAGGAACACCAGUGGCGAAGGCGGCUUACUGGACAGUAACUGACGUUGAGGCUCGAAAGCGUGGGGAGCAAACAGGAUUAGAUACCCUGGUAGUCCACGCCGUAAACGAUGACUACUAGGUGUCGGGGAGCAAAGCUGCCCGG
rnacentral:rRNA from 1 species